rnacentral:rRNA from 1 species
GUGAGGAAUAUUGCGCAAUGGGCGAAAGCCUGACGCAGCAACGCCGCGUGAGUGAUGAAGGCCUUCGGGUCGUAAAGCUCUGUCAGAGGGGAAGAAGUGUGAGGUGGCUAAUAUCCAUUUCACUUGACGGUACCUUCAAAGGAAGCACCGGCUAACUCCGUGCCAGCAGCCGCGGUAAUACGGAGGGUGCGAGCGUUGUUCGGAAUUAUUGGGCGUAAAGCGCGUGUAGGCGGUUUUUUAAGUCUGAUGUGAAAGCCCUGGGCUGAACCCGGGAAGUGCAUUAGAAACUGGGAGACUUGAAUACGGGAGAGGGCAGUGGAAUUCCUGGUGUAGGAGUGAAAUCCGUAGAUAUCAGGAGGAACACCGGUGGCGAAGGCGGCUGCCUGGACCGAUAUUGACGCUGAGACGCGAAAGCGUGGGGAGCAAACAGGAUUAGAUACCCGGGUAGUCC